ensembl:lncRNA
GCCGGGAGGAGGGGAGUGAUGCCUGAGGGCCUGGGGCUGGGGAGGGGCACAGCCGGGCCCCAGGGCAGGGUCUGGCAGGGACUGGGGAAGGGCCCUGAGUUGGGUCAAGGCUGGAGAGAAGCCAGGCCUGCCCACUGGUCUGGAAGGGAGGCCCUUGAGGGCUGCAGUGGCCUGGUGCCCAGGCCAUAUCACCGGGUACCUGGCCAGGGGAGACCCCCGAUUCAGUCUCUGACUCACAGAACUCAGCAGGGGACAAGGAAGUAAAGCAGCCGACAUUCAUGAAACCCUCGGUGGAUGCUGGCCGCACUGGGAAGUCAAGGAUCAGGCGAGAAGGCAAUGGUACCCCACUCCAGUACUCUUGCCUGGAAAAUCCCAUGGAUGGAGGAGCCUGAUAGGCUGCAGUCCAUGGGGUCGCUAAGAGUCGGGCACGACUGAGCAACUUCACUUUCACUUUCAUGCUUGAUCAGCCAGAGGAUCUUCAGCCCCGACCCUUGUCUCCACCUUCCGAACCCAGGAAAAGUCCACCGGGGAGAAUCUGACCGGAGACAAGCGCGGCCUGGGUGGAGGCCCAGCCCUGCCACCUCCCAGCAGGGUGAUUGUGAAGAAAUCUCUUAACCUGUCCAGGCUUCAGCUUCUCCAUCUGCACUUUGGGGAUGAUAAGACACAAUUCACGGCACUGUCCUGAGGCUUAAAGGAGGGUAAUUCAAGCUGUUCGCGCAGUGCCUGGCCCCAAGAUAAAAUACACCAAAAUUCCUCUGAGGGGCUGCUGACACCGACUGCCCUUUGAGCAUCCCCCUGUGAUGAUGGUACUAAAACAGGGACUAGGAGUUACUUGUCAACAGUGUGUAUGUUGGACUUGCAUUUGUGUUUAUUUACAUGUCAGUUACAGGCCUGAGAGAAAAGGUCUUGUCUUGCCUCUUUGGCACAGGUUCAGAAAUCUCACAUGGAUUGUGGAAAUAAAGUUUCUGUUGUGUUUGAAAAAAAAUACACCAAAAGUUGAGUAUUAUUAUUUUUUAUUAGGC